rnacentral:tRNA from 1 species
ACUUGGCUGGCUCAGUUGGUGGAGUAUGUGACUCUUGAUCUCAGGGUUGUAGGUUUGUGCCCUGCGCUGGGUG